GAUCUCAUCGCUGCGAAUCGCGGUGGAAUGCAGCCGGUGAGUCGAAUCGCCGGGGGAGGGAAGGGAAAAUGGAGGUGGCAUCGGAGAAGGUGGAAGAGCAGAUCUCUAGCGGGCGGCGAAAGGUGGCAGAUCGCGGUUGCGGCCGGUGAGUCGAAUCGCCGGCAGAGGGAGGGAAAAAUGGAGGUGGCAUCGGCCGGUGGGUCGAAUCGUCGCGGAGAGGGAAAUUGAGG